GUGCUUGAUUUGGCAGCACACGUACUAAAUUUGGAACAAUACAGAGAAGAUUAGCAUGGCCCUUGCACAAGGAUGACACACGAAAUCAUUAAGCAUUGCAUACAUUU
ensembl:snRNA U6 U6 spliceosomal RNA